UACAGAGGGUGCGAGCGUUAAUCGGAAUUACUGGGCGUAAAGCGCGCGUAGGUGGCUUUGCAAGUCGGGUGUGAAAUCCCCAGGCUUAACCUGGGAACUGCAUUCGAGACUGCAUUGCUAGAGUAUGGGAGAGGGAAGUGGAAUUUCCGGUGUAGCGGUGAAAUUCGUAGAUAUCAGGAGGAACACCAGUGGCGAAGGCGGCUUUCUGGACGGUAACUGACGCUGAGACGCGAAAGCGUGGGGAGCAAACAGG
rnacentral:rRNA from 1 species